ensembl:antisense 4930469G21Rik RIKEN cDNA 4930469G21 gene
AGGACUAUCUGAAAGGCUUUGACAGGAGUGCCUCUUUAGUGAUUGAGGCAUCUUUUGCUCUGUCUGACCAAUUUUUUAGCACAAGAUUUUCUUCUCUUUUAAAUUAAAAAAAAAAAAAAAAAAAAAAAAGAUGUCUACCCAAAGACUGUCUGUGCUUUCUCCCCUUCUGCUCUUCUGCUUCUUCAGAGAGACUUUCUCCAUUUGUGACGGGACAACGUGGACAAAGGUCGGAUGGGAGAUUUUUCCAGAGGAAGUGCACUACCUGAAAGUUAAGGCCCCCCCAUCCAGCUGCCUACCUUAUCCUCUGGACACACUCUGCUGCAAUUUUGCUAACAUGGACCUCUUACAGAGCGCCUUACACCUCACUUACAUCUUAGUACAAGCUCUCUGCUUAAUCCUGUUUGCUUUAUCUGUGCAUUACCUAUGGAUGAAAUGGACAAGACACCAAAAAAAGCUGAAAAAGCAAGCUUCCUUAGAGAAACACGCUAAUGGCCUAGACCUGAGCCCAUCCAUCCAUGACAUUGAACAAAUCCUCUGCAGACUACUGGCCACAACAUCAAUGAUGACCAAGUUCCUGAAGCACGUGUCUCACCACUCUUCUGUCAAGAAAGCUAAGCAACAACGUAAAUUAAGGAAGAAGAAGAGUAAGGGAGAAGAGGAGCAGAAGAUCACUGCUAUCCCUAAGCUCGUGCAAAUGUAGCUUGGUCAAGUGCGGAGAGGACAAAAGCUCGUGCAAAUGUAGCUUGGUCAAGUGCGGAGUAUAAAAGAAAUCUAUUGCAGGGACUGUCUGAGGACACAAAGGUUUCUUUGGGGGCUUGCUUUUUUUUUUUUUGCCACAAUCAUUACAGAAAAAUUCUCAGACGAGCUCUGGGUUUCCGCUCAACUGAAAACGAAUCCACUCUUUCUAACGUGGCUCCCAGAAUAAACUGAGAACACCUUAACUGGAA